UAGGGAAUAUUGCACAAUGGGCGAAAGCCUGAUGCAGCAACGCCGCGUGCGCGAAGAAGGCCUUCGGGUCGUAAAGCGCUUUUCUGAGAGAUGAGAAAGGACAGUAUCUCAGGAAUAAGUCUCGGCUAACUACGUGCCAGCAGCCGCGGUAAAACGUAGGAGGCGAGCGUUAUCCGGAUUCACUGGGCGUAAAGCGCGUGCAGGCGGUUCGGUAAGUUGGGCGUGAAAUCUCUCGGCUUAACUGGGAGAGGUCGUUCAAUACUACCGGGCUAGAGAGUGGUAGAGGAAGAUGGAAUUCCCGGUGUAGUGGUGAAAUGCGUAGAUAUCGGGAGGAACACCAGUGGCGAAAGCGAUCUUCUGGACCAUUUCUGACGCUCAGACGCGAAAGCUAGGGUAGUAAACGGGAUUAGAGACCCCGGUAAUCCUAGCCAUAAACGAUGUAAACUUGGCGUUGGUGGCUUAAACUCCAUCAGUGCCGCAGCAAACGCGAUAAGUUUACCGCCUGGGGACUACGAUCGCAAGAUUAA
rnacentral:rRNA from 1 species